rnacentral:rRNA from 1 species
UACGUAGGGUGCAAGCGUUGUCCGGAAUUAUUGGGCGUAAAGAGCUCGUAGGCGGUUCGUCGCGUCGGCUGUGAAAUCCCGAGGCUCAACCUCGGGUCUGCAGUCGAUACGGGCGGACUGGAGUUCGGCAGGGGAGACUGGAAUUCCUGGUGUAGCGGUGAAAUGCGCAGAUAUCAGGAGGAACACCGAUGGCGAAGGCAGCUUGCUGGGACGGUACUGACGCUGAGGCGCGAAAGCGUGGGGAGCAAACAGG